rnacentral:misc_RNA from 1 species
GUGAAUCAUCAAAUUUUUGAACGCAAAUUGCACUCUCCUCGGAGAGUAGGCCUGUUUGAGUGUCAGCCUAUAAAAAAUCUACAUCGUUGCUGUUUCGCUGUUGCGUUCGUCGGAAAUUUGGUCAUCUUAAAUCUUUUGGUUUUAAGCGACUUAAAAUUUUUUUUUUGGUUCCAUGAACGUGUCUAAGAUUUAUUUCUUUACACGUUUAAGUUAUCGAUUUCUAUUAGACGUGACCAUCAUAGCGGAUCGCGCCCGUAAUCGUUCAU